GACGUAGGGCGCAAGCGUUGUCCGGAUUUAUUGGGCGUAAAGAGCUCGUAGGCGGCCUGUCGCGUCGACUGUGAAAACCCGAGGCUUAACCACGGGACUGCAGUCGAUACGGGCAGGCUAGAGUGCGGUAGGGGAGACUGGAAUUCCUGGUGUAGCGGUGAAAUGCGCAGAUAUCAGGAGGAACACCGGUGGCGAAGGCGGGUCUCUGGGCCGACACUGACGCUGAGGAGCGAAAGCGUGGGGAGCGAAC
rnacentral:rRNA from 1 species